GGGAAUUUGUGGUGUAGCGGUGAAAUGCAUAGAUAUCACAAGGAACUCCAAUUGCGAAGGCAGCUCACUGGGGUAUAACUGACGCUGAGGCACGAAGGUGCGGGUAUCAAACAGGAUUAGAUACCCUGGUAGUCCGCACAGUAAACGAUGAAUACUCGCUGUUUGCGAUAUACAGUAAGCGGCCAAGCGAAAGCAUUAAGUAUUCCACCUGGGGAGUACGCCGGCAACGGUGAAACUCAAAGGAAUUGACGGGGGCCCGCACAAGCGGAGGAACAUGUGGUUUAAUUCGAUGAUACGCGAGGAACCUUACCUGGGCUUAAAUUGCAAUUGACGGAGGCCGAAACGUCUCUUUCUUCGGACAAUUGUGAAGGUGCUGCAUGGUUGUCGUCAGCUCGUGCCGUGAGGUGUCGGCUUAAGUGCCAUAACGAGCGCAACCCUCAUUAUUAGUUACUAACAGGUUAAGCUGAGGACUCUAAUAAGACUGCCGUCGUAAGAUGUGAGGAAGGUGGGGAUGACGUCAAAUCAGCACGGCCCUUACGUCCAGGGCCACACACGUGUUACAAUGGGUGAAACAGAGGGCAGCUACCUAGCGAUAGGAUGCUAAUCCCAAAAACCAUUCUCAGUUCGGAUCGAAGUCUGCAACUCGACUUCGUGAAGCUGGAUUCGCUAGUAAUCGCGCAUCAGCCACGGCGCGGUGAAUACGUUCCCGGGCCUUGUACACACCGCCCGUCAAGCCAUGGAAGCUGGGGGUACCUGAAGCACGUAACCGCAAGGAGCGUUCUAGGGUAAAUCUGGUAACUGGGGCUAAGUCGUAACCAAGGUAACCGUAAAGGGCGAAUUCGUAACCCGC
rnacentral:rRNA from 1 species